GGCCCUACGGGGCGCAGCAGUGGGGGAAUUUUUUACAAUGUGCGAAAACCUGAUGAAGCGACGCCGCGUGUGCGAAGAAGGCCUUCGGGUUGUUAAGCUACUCUUCU
rnacentral:rRNA from 1 species